rnacentral:rRNA from 1 species
AGCGAACGCUGGCGGCAGGCCUAACACAUGCAAGUCGAACGGAUCCUUCGGGAUUAGUGGCGGACGGGUGAGGAACACGUGGGAACGUGCCUUUUGGUUCGGAACAACUCAGGGAAACUUGAGCUAAUACCGGAUAAGCCCUUCGGGGGAAAGAUUUAUCGCCAUUAGAGCGGCCCGCGUCUGAUUAGCUAGUUGGUGAGGUAAAGGCUCACCAAGGCAACGAUCAGUAGCUGGUCUGAGAGGAUGAUCAGCCAUACUGGGACUGAGACACGGCCCAGACUCCUACGGGAGGCAGCAGUGGGGAAUCUUGCGCAAUGGGCGAAAGCCUGACGCAGCCAUGCCGCGUGAAUGAUGAAGGUCUUAGGAUUGUAAAAUUCUUUCACCGGGGACGAUAAUGACGGUACCCGGAGAAGAAGCCCCGGCUAACUUCGUG